GAUGAACGCUAGCUACAGGCUUAACACAUGCAAGUCGAGGGGCAUCAGGAAGAAAGCUUGCUUUCUUUGCUGGCGACCGGCGCACGGGUGAGUAACACGUAUCCAACCUGCCCUUUACUCGGGGAUAGCCUUUCGAAAGAAAGAUUAAUACCCGAUAGCAUAAUGAUUCCGCAUGGUUUCAUUAUUAAAGGAUUCCGGUAAAGGAUGGGGAUGCGUUCCAUUAGAUAGUAGGCGGGGUAACGGCCCACCUAGUCUUCGAUGGAUAGGGGUUCUGAGAGGAAGGUCCCCCACAUUGGAACUGAGACACGGUCCAAACUCCUACGGGAGGCAGCAGUGAGGAAUAUUGGUCAAUGGGCGAGAGCCUGAACCAGCCAAGUAGCGUGAAGGAUGACUGCCCUAUGGGUUGUAAACUUCUUUUAUAAAGGAAUAAAGUCGGGUAUGCAUACCCGUUUGCAUGUACUUUAUGAAUAAGGAUCGGCUAACUCCGUGCCAGCAGCCGCGGUAAUACGGAGGAUCCGAGCGUUAUCCGGAUUUAUUGGGUUUAAAGGGAGCGUAGGUGGACUGGUAAGUCAGUUGUGAAAGCUUGCGGCUCAACCGUAAAAUUGCAGUUGAUACUGUCAGUCUUGAGUACAGUAGAGGUGGGCGGAAUUCGUGGUGUAGCGGUGAAAUGCUUAGAUAUCACGAAGAACUCCGAUUGCGAAGGCAGCUCACUGGACUGCAACUGACACUGAUGCUCGAAAGUGUGGGUAUCAAACAGG
rnacentral:rRNA from 1 species